CGUCUUCUGUACUUCUUUAGCUUCGUGUACGUUUAGUUGCAUAAACACGUAACGGUAUGGUUGGAGGGAAGGAGCUUUGAGAACUUAGGAAAGAUGUCUGUGUUCUGUGCUGUGAAAGCUGAGUCCUCAGAGUAUUUUAAAGAAGAUACUUGCAGACAAGAAGUAAGUUCUUUCUUAGGUUCAAUGGCAAGAGUGUGCACCUUCUGGCCAUUUGAGUCGUGUGGAAAGUGGUAGGCCAAAAAACCCUUCAGCUGUUCCUUUUGUACAAGUGGUUUGUAACCCGUGUGGCUGUUUGCCGUAUGCCUAUCUAGACGAUUUAGUGUUUUUGCAAAUUACAGUUUUGAAAUUCCUUCCCUAAAGGGAUGGUGGAUGUCCUCUUCUAUCAUCGAGAAGUGUUGCAUGAAUGAGAUUUAAAAUGGAAAACAAGUAAAAUCAUGGUUGGAGCCUCAAGUAUGUACAAAACCAGCUGGUAAAUAUGCCACCUUUUAGAAAAGUAAUGUUAGACAGAGGAUUGUAUCUUGGGAAGCUCUUGAUCAAGUAUCAGAAGAUUUGCCUAGUUAUGCCUGUGUUCACAUUGUACAUUGUGCCUUAGUCUGAACCUGUGGUAUAAGUUCUGGUUUAUCUUACCCAAUUUGUAUUCCAAAUCUGGCACACCCUUUCUGCCAUUGGGUUUCAGAAGCUGCUUGCACCCCCUAGGAUCAGCUACUUCUCUGUGUGCUUAUCCUUUUAUGCAGAAAGAAUGCUUCCAAAGAAAUAAUUACCAAUCACAAGUUCCUUUUUAGCAGCAUACUGAGAGCAUUUGUCGGAUAGACUGAAUCAUUAACAAAAUCCACAAUGCACCAUUUUCUUCCUGUCUCUUCUGAAAACUCCCCUGGGAGUAGUGAUUUGAAGUAGUGAUAUUCUGUUUAGGUAUGUACUUGGACAGAUCCAUCUUCACUGAUGGGAAAGAGAUGAUAUGUCACACCGCGCUCUCUCUUGCUUCUUCUCACUGAUAAAUUCUGAUAGUAAAGGUAGUUCUGUCCUUUCUCUUAUGUUACUUCUCACUGUUCUGUUAGUUCUGUUUAUAAUGCUGAAUGUAGAUCCUUAGGCUCUGCUGUCCAAAUCAGCUAUUUCAACAGCAGAUGUAAGAGUAUAUUGUUAGUGAUAUUAAGUGUUUUCCUACAUAUUACAAGAACUAGUUUCCGUGUAGAAUUCAUUCGUUUUUGAUGUUAUACUCAGAAGAGGUUUCAAAGCUUUCAUAUAACCUUGAAUGGAAUUUUUGCUGCUCAUCGUAACAUAAUUUCUUCUCACAUUUCCAUUCUAAAAUGGAAGGGAUCACGUUUUAUGUGACAA